CUCUCUUCUUUUGAGAAUCUGUUGCAAACACAAAUUCUGCUCCUCCAUCCUAUGAUAUACAACAGAACUUCAAGCAUGAUACUUAAAAAAUGGUUUUAUUGAAAAAAAUGAAAUGGUGAGUUGUAAGAACUCUUAGAAGUCAGAAAAAGAAAAUUUAAGCCAUUUAAAAGUUGAUACAAUUUUCAACUUUCUUUAACAAAGUAGUACUUGACUCGACUUAAAAUACAUAGAGGAUGGUUACCACAGUGCUCCAAUUUCCAUGCAAAUAGAAAGUUUGCACCAUUUUUCUUGACCCUAUCAAAACUGGCUCAUAGUGCUAAAUGAGUUGCAGAAUACUAUCAGUGUUCAUGAAUAAGCCAAACCAAAAUAUGAACCAGAAUCAAAUCUUGUUUUUAAAAUAAACUUUAAUCAACUAGAAAUUGAUGAUAACAUAAACAUCUACCAUACAAGGCUACCAAUUGAAACCAAGGCAGAAUAAAAGAAAGAAAGUAUACUAGGUAGUUUCAAAGCUUUUGAUUUAAAUAAGGUUCAAAUUCUUACUUGAUUGAGGUAUGAUGGAUCAAUGUUUAAAUAUGGUGAUAGACUUCCUCCUGAUGAGUGUACUGAUACAUUUAGGCUUGAAUUGUCGUAUUCUCUGUCAUUUGAAUUGAACAUCUUGAUUUUACUUCACCAACGAGGGCUUGAUGACGCCACAGCAACAACUACUGGUAAAUGUUUAGCCUUUACGACCACGUUAAGAGCUUUAAAGCGACACAGAUCGGUAUAAGUGACCUUCACAGUUUUCCAAUUGAUUGAUGGUCUUUCAGUAGGUCUUCAUUUUGCAAGCUGUAGGCUAAAGCUCCCUACAGAAACCUAGACUUGAAAAAACACAAGGCCAAAA